rnacentral:rRNA from 1 species
AUGCCGCCCGCCACCACCUCCUUCGCUGCGCCGCAUGCCACCUCCCUGCCCACCUUCUCCGGCGCAGCGCACCCUACCUUGCGUACCAUCUCAGGCGGCACCGCCCACCACCACCUCCGACUGCGUCCCAUGGCACAACCCCAGGGACGGAUCCGACUGCAGUCAUGGCGGGAUCUAACCGCCCCCCUACACAUCCCCAGGGACGGAUCCGGGCGGUUCCGGUCCGCCACGCCGCCAGGCGACAAGAUCGAGGAGCAAACCUUCACCUCCCUCUCCCGUCCCCAUCCAGGAUCCCUCCUCUCACGCCGCCUCUGGAUGCGAGCCACCGCCACCAACGGACAGCCCGCCCUACUGCCUUCACCCCCAUGGCCUCGCCGCCGUCACCCCUAG